rnacentral:rRNA from 1 species
UGGAAUUGCUAGUAAUCGUGGAUCAGCAUGCCACGGUGAAUACGUUCCCGGGUCUUGUACACACCGCCCGUCACACCAUGGGAGCUGGUAACACCCGAAGUCAGUAGUCUAACCGCAAGGAGGACGCUGCCGAAGGUGGGAUUAGCGACUGGGGUGAAGUCGUAACAAGGUAUC